rnacentral:rRNA from 1 species
CCUACGGGGGGCAGCAGUGAGGAAUAUUGGGCAAUGGACGAGAGUCUGAACCAGCCAAGUAGCGUGAAGGAUGACUGCCCUAUGGGUUGUAAACUUCUUUUAUAAAGGAAUAAAACGAGGCACGUGUGCCGUUUUGCAUGUACUUUAUGAAUAAGGAUCGGCUAACUCCGUGCCAGCAGCCGCGGUAAUACGGAGGAUCCGAGCCUUAUCCGGAUUUAUUGGGUUUAAAGGGAGCGUAGAUGGGUUGUUAAGUCAGUUGUGAAAGUUUGCGGCUCAACCGUAAAAUUGCAAUUGAUACUGGCAGUCUUGAGUACAGUUGAGGUAGGCGGAAUUCGUGGUGUAGCGGUGAAAUGCUUAGAUAUCACGAAGAACCCCGAUUGCGAAGGCAGCUUACUAAACUGUGACUGACAUUGAUGCUCGAAAGUGUGGGUAUCAAACAGGAUUAGAUACCCGUGUAGUC